UUCCCCGGUCUUCUGGCGUCACUGAAGCUCUUUUAUCAAAGGAGGAGCAUUGUGGGAUUUGAAGUGUGAUUUGCGUUGCACAGGACACUCGCGGGCAUUCCGGUGGCAGGAGGACCAGUGGGUGAAAUAUCAGGGCGGAGCUUUCCAUGCUUGGCAGAUGGAUGCCUUGUGAACUUAAAGGCAAAGUAAUCAACUUAACAUAAAUCGCAAGAUGCAAUUUCACAGGGUCGGACGCCACCAUACGCUCUAGCAUGUAGUUGCUACACAUUUGUUGACGACAGUAGCCUACUAUAGCGUGACUGACAAUGCUGCUGAGGCUAUGCACACAAGCUCGGACGUACAGGACUAUGUUUGGAACGCUAAACAAACAUGGCCUUCUCUCCUUCAGAAGCUUGCUGUGUUGGUUGCUGCUGGAUGCGUUGUGUGCCCCUGUAGGGAGUGUCUCUGUACUGAGGAAAUUCUUCUCAGGAAGUGGCGUAUAGGUUGGUUACAUGUGCAGUCCACUCUUCAUACGCUCCCUCUACUGGUGUCCACUCUGUCACCCUCCCGGUCAGUAUUAAAUGGUUUUACCCUACAGAACAUGAGGGAGGGGGGAUUGAGAGAGUGUUUGUAUAGCCAACAAUUGGUUGAAUGUGAAAUUCUAAUCUAAUUUUAGACACCUUGACCUGUUUAUUUGACCUUCUUAAAUUGAAAUGUAUUUAUUUCAGUUAAACUGACUUCUCACAGCUGUUUUGAAAUACUAUUUUGCACUGUAUUCAUUUCUUGUUCCUCAUGCCAGUAUUUUAGACAACACUGAAAUGCUUAAUUUGUCCAAUGCAAAAGAAGCAUUUCCUGUUCAUAGUUUUGUAAGCCAAAAGGAUUAACAAGACAUGUUUGUCUGCUGAGAGUAGCAGAGAGAGGAAGACGGAAAGAAAGAGAGGGGAGGGGGGUCGAAAGCAGACACAGUUGUGUUUCAGACAUUUUUUUGUCCUAUAAAAAGUUGAGAAAAUUUGAGUUUUCCCUUUGCUAACAGAAAUAAAUGCUGAAUUUAAUUUAUUUAGCAUUGAAAUUAUAAAGCUACACGUGUGUUUAAAAACUCUGCAGUUUUGGAUAAAAAAAAAGAAAAGUGAGACGUGGUCUUAGAGUUAGUGGAAUCAGGUCAAAGAAUUCCUGAACCAUGUUCGGGAAAUAUGGAACACCCGGAAUUCCAGGGGUGGGGCCAUAGCGAGCGAGAGAGCACUCCAUAAACAAGAACUCCGGCAAAUGUUAAUCGAACACACAUGCUCUCUCUCACGAAGAAGAGGGGAAGAAAAGGGAGGGAGCGGGUACUUUCCAAGUCUCCUAGAGAAAGUUUGCAAAGUUCUUGUUAAUAAUGUGCGCCUCGUUCUGUUCUGCAAAGAGUGCAAAACUCUGUGAUACUUGAAAUGCAUUUCAUUUUAUGCUUUAUCCUUUUUAUCAACCACCCCUUUAGGCCUCUGACUGAUCCACAUCUAAAUAAAGCUUCAUUUAAGAGAGAAAAAAUUGGUGUUGUAAACAUAUUUGACAAACUGUGAACUGAAGCCCAGAACUCAUCGGAAAUAGACAGAGUUGUUUGCACAUUGUUGCCUCGGUAUAAAGUCACUAAUGCUCAUAAAGGUGAAGCACUGUUUUAAUCCUAAAUGACUGCUAAAAAUUAAAUGUCAUUCACCUUUUUCUUCAGAUUCAGUACUGGAAACAAUUUGCUCAGAGCUUGUGACUGUAUAUAGUGCUCUAGUGUGGGUUGCCUGAAUCUAGGGCAGAGAGUAAGUACUCCACUGAAGUCAGCACUUAAUGUAGCACUAGUAAGCGCUCUUAUUCUCAUAUGAGGGCCGACAAUCAAAAUUGUGCUAUAUUAGAGACGCUGUCUAUCUCUCUCUCUCUCUCUUCUCUCUUUUUUCUUUUUUAAUAAAUGCCUGUAAAGCCUAUUUGAAUAUUUGAAACAUGAAAUGUUUCACCACAAAUAAUAAAGUCAGUAUGUAAUUUAUAUAAAAUAUAUGCCACAUAGCAUAGUUGACAUAUUUUAGAAGUAUUUCCUUACAUAUUAAAAAUGUUAAGGACACCUUUUUAAAAUUGUAUUUGUUAAUACUUACAGGGAUAAUUAAAACUGAAAUUAAAAUUCUAUCAUCAUUUACACGUCCUCAUCACUUACAUUUGGGGUUUAAAAAAGCAAGUGGAGUCAUUCUUGUUUUUGUUUUUUGACCACUUGACUUUCAAUGUGUAGACAAAAUGGUUAAAUAAAUGUUCAAACAUCUUCUGCAGAAGAAACUCAUGAGGUUGAGUAAAGGAGUAAAAGGUGAUAAUUAAAAAUUUUGCAUGAAAUAUUCCUAUAAGUGUCAUCCUUUGACUGAAAGAUAUAGUUCUUGGCAUAAUGUUGCUAUGCAACAAAUUCAUUUUUUAAAAAAUGUAAUGUUACUAUACUGUGAAUUUCAGCAUUAUAGCUGAUGAAAAAAAUGUCUCUAUCAGUCAGAAGCAAUGUCCUUGACUAAUUGUUUUAUAUAAUUGUUCUGUACACGUUUCACCUUUUCCAAUAGCGGUUUCGAAAAUUAGGUCAGCAGAGUCCAUCCGUCUUCGAUAUUGUGAAGAAUUGAAAUUACUACUAUGAAGUUUUCCAGAGCCAUUUCAGGAGAAAGUUCUGAAAGGCUGCAUUCAGAAAUGUGUCAGAACAUUAGAAUGGAGCUCUGUGCAAGUGUGUACAUGUAAGUUUGUGUGUUUGCACCUUUUGUGUACAUGUAUGUGCUUGUGUUUGCGCUGUCUGUCUCCGUGCUGUGUGCAGCUCCUCCAGUCCUCCGCUCACAGGGUGUGGGUGAGCUGUUUGAACUCGGUGGUUAAGCUGGUAGACUGAGAUGAAUGCAAGAAGAGCUCAGUCUCCUCUUUGAAGUUUGACACGGGGGGUUACCCCUCCCACCAGGAGGGGCUUCAGCAGAGAAAGAGAGAAUGGGGGGGGGGGGGAGAAAAACUUUACUCUUGUUUUUUGUGAGAAACACUAGAGGUCCAGCUUGACUCUCAAAUUGUCAGAAGGCUUCUUCUUGUUUUAAUUAUCUACUCUGAGAACAGCUACGCUAUUACGCUAUGCUUUCACCUAGUAUCUUAGAAUAGGAAAACUUUCCCAAGACAGAUGUUGGAAAGCUGAGUUUUUUAAAUAUUGUAUUACAAACAGUUGUAAGUGUUCAAAGUUGUUGUCUGUCAAAUAAGACACAAGUAAUCUAGCGGGAAAGUCCCUUUUAAAGAAAUGAGUACAUUACUUGAAGACCUCCCGCUCUCGCUGUCUCUCACAAACACACACACAUAUGCAUGCUGUGUCGUGUCUGGGAGUCACCUAAAAGAGAGGCCUGGCCAGGUGUGCAGCAGAGACUGAGGAUGAUACAGGUAUGAGCAAGUUCCUUGACAGAUCCAGCAACAGGCUCAAGGACUCUGCUCUGGCUUGUUAUCCCUCAUCUGUUUCUCCUUCUUCUUUACUGGGUUUUUAAACAUGCUGCUAUAUCUUUUAUAUUUUUACAUAUCUAAAAAAUCUUUAAAAUAACAAUAUACCAUUCCACGCCAGUAGAAAAAAAACAAAUUUGUAAUUGUUAGUGUUUUCCCCAACCAUAUCAUUUAUAGGUAUUUUUGUUUUAGGACCUAUUUUUUAUAAGAAGACAGUGGGGAAAGGACCGGAAAUAUUUCAAGCCAAAUUCGAACUUGUGUUGUCCAUAUGAUCACCACAGUGUCUGCUGCUUUUUGGAUAAAAGCACUUACAUUAGCACAUUGGACCUUUGCUCAGAAAGAUCCAACUCUGUUUUGGGUUGCAGUACCUGACCAACAACUACCAGCAUUGUUUCUGAAGCUCUGCCACACCCUCACAUUGCCCGGGGCUCUAUGGGUCACCCUAUCCCACUGUCCUCAUCGAAGACAAUGACUUCCUCAGAAUCCCUCAUUGUAAGACACAUGGUAUAGGUCUCAGUUUUCUUGUUAGAUUUGGGAGGUGUGGCCUUUGAGGAUGUUUUUGCCAAGAGGCAGCAUCAGCACAUCUAAAAAAAAUGACUAACAGCCGUUGUCAUAUGUGUGUGUACAAAUGUCAGAGUUUGUCUGUUCAAAGAUGCCUUCAAAUAGCCACUUACUGAGCAUUUACCUUCUAAAGUGUGAGACUGUCUGAAGCCAAGCAAGUCACAGUCAUCUCUUUGUGUGUUAUAAGGGUCUUAAUAAAUGAAGUAAAACAAUCGUUUAAGCAUCUCUACAAUUUUUUUUUGUUUUUGCUGAGUAAAUUCAUCUGUGUUGAUGGGCAAAUAAGUUUGCUGUGUUUUCCCAUGACAGUCAUCUGUAUGUACAUGUUCCUCUGUGUGUGUGUGUGUGUGUGUGCGUGUGUGUUCGGGACAUGUCAGGUGUCUACACACACUGUAGAUGCAGUGACUGUGGUGCCUCCAGUGGCAGAUUUACGACAGUGUCUUUUAAACCAUGAUUGCAGACAUACACACACUGAUAUACUGCUUUGUAGGAGGUUAGAUUAGUUUUGCCUCCCGCUGUUAAAAUGAUAUUGAAACAAUCUUAAAAUAGUCUUCUAUAGUGAGGGAAUAACAAAAAACAUAAUCUCUUGAUCACUUAUCUAUACACUAUAAAGUGUAUGUUGCUGCUGAAGUGUUAGUAAUCUGCAUAUAUGUGGGGUCGUAGUGUUUCAAACAGUCCAGCAGUCAAAUAUGUUCAAUUGUGUAUCUUGUCUCACUGAAAGCAGGGCAGGCUGAAUAUGUAGAAUGACUGGGCUUCUGGUUUGUUUAUGAUAUGACUGAUAUUCAAACUGUAAGCACAGAAGAGUAACACACACUUAAUCCAAUCAGAAAGUGACAUAUGAACACUCGUAAUUAUAUGAACAAAUGUACUCUAUGCAAUAAUUAAUAAUUAAAAGUUUCGAUUUUUGAUUUCAUAACUAUAUGUACAAAUGUUCAAUAUGGUUUAUGGUUAGUGAAAGAUGAGUAUAAGAAAUAUUGUUUAAGAUAAUCAUAUUUAUGCUAGCAACGUGGGGGAAAAUAUUCAAAAACAGCAGGCCAAUUCCAGGAAAGAAGUCAUUUCAAGAAUGAGCUUUUUUGGUUCUAUAAUGAGAAACGUGCUGAA